UGGGGAAUAUUGCACAAUGGGCGCAAGCCUGAUGCAGCCAUGCCGCGUGUAUGAAGAAGGCCUUCGGGUUGUAAAGUACUUUCAGCGGGGAGGAAGGGAGUAAAGUUAAUACCUUUGCUCAUUGACGUUACCCGCAGAAGAAGCACCGGCUAACUCCGUGCCAGCAGCCGCGGUAAUACGGAGGGUGCAAGCGUUAAUCGGAAUUACUGGGCGUAAAGCGCACGCAGGCGGUCUGUCAAGUCGGAUGUGAAAUCCCCGGGCUCAACCUGGGAACUGCAUUCGAAACUGGCAGGCUAGAGUCUUGUAGAGGGGGGUAGAAUUCCAGGUGUAGCGGUGAAAUGCGUAGAGAUGUGGAGGAAUACCGGUGGCGAAGGCGGCCCCCUGGACAAAGACUGACGCUCAGGUGCGAAAGCGUGGGGAGCAAACAGG
rnacentral:rRNA from 1 species